UUCGGGAGAACACGACCGGCGCACGGGUGAGUAACGCGUAUGCAACCUACCUUUGGCGCGGAGUACAGCCCGGGGAAACCCGGAUUAAUACCCGGUAUAGUCUGUUAUACACCUGUAUAAAAGACGAGAGCUACGGCGGCCAAAGAUGGGCAUGCGUGCCAUUAGUUAGUUGGUAGGGUAACGGCCUACCAAGGCAUCGAUGGCUACGGGGUCUAAAAGGAUGAGCCCGCACACUGGUACUGAGACACGGACCAGACUCCUACGGGAGGCAGCAGUGAGGAAUAUUGGUCAAUGGGUGGAAGCCUGAACCAGCCAUGCCGCGUGCAGGAAGACGGCCUUAUGGGUUGUAAACUGCUUUUCUACGGGACGAACGGCUCUGACGUGUCAGAGAUUGACGGUACCGUAGGAAUAAGCAUCGGCUAACUCCGUGCCAGCAGCCGCGGUAAUACGGAGGAUGCGAGCGUUAUCCGGAUUUAUUAGGUUUAAAGGGUGCGUAGGCUGGGCAAUAAGUCAGUGGUGAAAGUCCGCGGCUCAACCGUGGGAUUGCCAUUGAAACUGUUGUUCUUGAGUACAGUCGAGGUAGGCGGAAUGUGUAAUGUAGCGGUGAAAUGCAUAGAUAUUACCCAGAACACCGAUUGCGUAGGCAGCUUACCAGCCUGGAACUGACGCUGAUGCACGAAAGCGUGGGGAG
rnacentral:rRNA from 1 species